rnacentral:rRNA from 1 species
GACGAACGCUGGCGGCGUGCUUAACACAUGCAAGUCGAACGGAAAGGCCCUGCUUUUGUGGGGUGCUCGAGUGGCGAACGGGUGAGUAACACGUGAGUAACCUGCCCUUGACUUUGGGGUAACUUCAGGAAACUGGGGCUAAUACCGGGUAGGAGCUCCUGCUGCAUGGUGGGGGUUGGAAAGUUUCGGCGGUUGGGGAUGGACUCGCGGCUUAUCAGCUUGUUGGUGGGGUAGUGGCUUACCAAGGCUUUGACGGGUAGCCGGCCUGCGAGGGUGACCGGCCACAUUGGGACUGAGAUACGGCCCAGACUCCUACGGGAGGCAGCAGGGGGGAAUAUUGCACAAUGGGCGGAAGCCUGAUGCAGCAACGCCGCGUGCGGGAUGACGGCCUUCGGGUGGUAAACCGCUUUCGCCUGUGACGAAGCGUGAGUGACGGUAAUGGGUAAAGAAGCACCGGCUAACUACGUG